rnacentral:rRNA from 1 species
AUUGAACACUGGCGGCAUGCCUUACACAUGCAAGUCGAACGGCAGCACGGACUUCGGUCUGGUGGCGAGUGGCGAACGGGUGAGUAAUAUAUCGGAACAUACCUUGUAGUGGGGGAUAACUAUCCGAAAGGAUAGCUAAUACCGCAUACGCUCUAAGGAGGAAAGCGGGGGAUCGUAAGACCUCGUGCUAUAAGAGUGGCCGAUAUCUGAUUAGCUAGUUGGUGAGGUAAAGGCUCACCAAGGCGACGAUCAGUAGCUGGUCUGAGAGGACGACCAGCCACACUGGAACUGAGACACGGUCCAGACUCCUACGGGAGGCAGCAGUGGGGAAUUUUGGACAAUGGGCGCAACCCUGAUCCAGCAAUGCCGCGUGAGUGAAGAAGGCCUUCGGGUUGUAAAGCUCUUUUGUCAGGGAAGAAACGGUUGUGGCUAAUAUCCAUGGCUAAUGACGGUACCUGAAGAAUAAGCACCGGCUAACUACGUGCCAGCAGCCGCCGUAAAAC